GCGGGCGUAGCUUAAUGGCAAAGCUUCUGGUUCCCAACCAGAUGACGAGGGUUCGAUUCCCUUCGCCCGCUCCA
rnacentral:tRNA from 1 species